GAUGAACGCUGGCGGCGUGCCUAAUACAUGCAAGUCGAGCGAACGGACGAGAAGCUUGCUUCUCUGAUGUUAGCGGCGGACGGGUGAGUAACACGUGGAGAACCUACCUAUAAGACUGGGAUAACUUCGGGAAACCGGAGCUAAUACCGGAUAAUAUUUUGAACCGCAUGGUUCAAAAGUGAAAGACGGUCUUGCUGUCACUUAUAGAUGGAUCCGCGCUGCAUUAGCUAGUUGGUAAGGUAACGGCUUACCAAGGCAACGAUGCAUAGCUGACCUGAGAGGGUGGUCGGCCACACUGGAACUGGGACAGGGUCCAGACUCGUAGGGGAGGCGGCAGUGGGGAAUCUUCGGCAAUGGGGGAAGGCCUGACGGAGCAACGCGGCGUGAGUGAUGAAGGUCUUCGGAUCGUAAAACUCUGUUAUUAGGGAAGAACAUAUGUGUAAGUAACUGUGCACAUCUUGACGGUACCUAAUCAGAAAGCCACGGCUAACUACGUG
rnacentral:rRNA from 1 species